AAUUGAACUCAUCAAUGACGCUGAACGCCUUCCCGGCGCCGGCGGCCGAGCGGGCCGCCGCCGGCCGGGAAUCGGGAUCGGCGGCGGUCGCCGCCUGGGCCUGGGCGAGCCAGUCGCUGGUGACGACGGCGUGGUGCUCGGCGCGGGUCUGGUAAUAGGCGGACAUUGAGGGGUUAGGGUUAGGGUUUUGGAGGUCCAUGGUGAGGUUUGA
rnacentral:misc_RNA from 1 species